CUGUCUGCUGGGAUUCUAGAGAUGGGGCUUUGUUUCCGUGUUCAGAAGACCUGCAUUACAGGGUGGGGGUGGAGAUUUCAUCAGAAAGCAAGUGAAGGCGCCGGCAGUGUUGGUGCUCAACAAGAUUAAUUUCCUACCCACUGCAGGCUCGUCCCAUCUGAAUCAUAGGAUUAGCAGAGCAGGACGCUAAAGACCUUAAGAAGUGCUUUGUUGCUUUAUAUACAAAGUUCUAGAGAAAGAAGAAGAGAGAGCGUGCAGGCGCAGGCGGAAGUUUUAGAAGUGUGGUGGGAGAGACAACUGUGAAAUGGGAAAGAUGCUGAGAAGGAAGCCUCAGAUCGGUGGACAGCCCCAAGAAAGACACGGAGGAGUUACCAGGUGAGGAAACUGAGACCAGAGAAGGAAAAUAACUUGCCGAACGAAGGCUACAAACUUGCAAGUGAUGGGGCCUGGUUGAACUUAAGGUCUUUCUGUUUGGCAAUAGCAUCUCAGUGACAUCCUUGGUUGGAAUAGUUUUAGAAUCAAGGUAAAGAUGGAAGUCAGACCAUGGAGUUCCCAGG
rnacentral:lncRNA from 1 species